CAAUAGCGUAUAUUAAAGUUGUUGCGGUAAAAAAGCUCGUAGUUGGAUUUCUACCGAAGAUAGCCGGUCGGGUCUUCGACCUUGUAUCUGGUUUUGUCUUUGGUAUCCUCAUAGGGAACGUUUCUGCGCUUUAUUGCGUGGUGCGGUAUCUAUGACUUUUACUUUGAGGAAAUUAGAGUGUUCACGGCAGGCAAACGCCUUGAAUAUAUUAGCAUGGAAUAAUAACAUAGGAUCUUCGUCCUAUUUUGUUGGUUUCUAGGGCUAAGAUAAUGAUUAAUAGGGAUGAUUGGGGGCAUCUGUAUCAACGCGUCAGAGGUGGAAUUCUUGGAUUGCGUUGCGACAAACUACUGCGAAAGCAUUUGCCAAGGAUGUUUUCAUUGA
rnacentral:rRNA from 1 species